GUAAAGUUGGUUUUAUAUUCGCACAUUCGCACAUUCGCGUUAAAGAACUUUUUCAAUUAAAUAGUCAAUGAAGCAAUUUUUUUUCAGAUUCGAAGCAGCUACUUAAUAUUGACAACAAAGACUGUGAACUACAACAUUUUCUACAAUCGAUCAAAAUGGGUUUUGAAAGGAUGGGCCGACUGUUCCAAAGCAAGUUGGAUGGUCUUGUCUGGACCCUACAGAACACACUACAGCCCACGUCUUGCUGUUUUAUCCACCUCGGUUUUUCUGUUUUUAAGUGUAAUAAAGACUUUACAGUGUAACAGUGUUCUCCAGGUGCUGAAUAAAAAGAAUGGCCUAACAGUAUUUUAUGGUUUCCUGUUGUAUAGCAUCUUCAAUUAACAUUAAACUCUCACAAUAACACAA